CAGGCGCGUAAAUUGCCCGAAUCCUGACACAGGGAGGUAGUGACAAGAAAUAACAAUACAGGGCUACUUUUAGUCUUGUAAUUGGAAUGAGUACAAUUUACAUCUCUUCACGAGGAUCAAUUGGAGGGCAAGUCUGGUGCCAGCAGCCGCGGUAAUUCCAGCUCCAAUAGCGUAUAUUAAAGUUGUUGCAGUUAAAAAGCUCGUAGUCGGAUUUCGGGGCGGGGCGACCGGUCUGCCGAUGGGUAUGCACUGGUCGGCGCGUCCUUCCUUCCGGAGACCGUGCCUACUCUUAACUGAGCGGGGGCGGGAGACGGAUCGUUUACUUUGAAAAAAUCAGAGUGUUUCAAGCAGGCGUCUCGCCUUUGCAUGGAUUAGCAUGGGAUAAUGAAAUAGGACUCUGGUGCUAUUUUGUUGGUUUCGAACACCGGAGUAAUGAUUAACAGGGACAGUCAGGGGCACUCGUAUUCCGUCGAGAGAGGUGAAAUUCUCAGACCAAUGGAAGACGAACCACUGCGAACGCAUUUGCCAGGGAUGUUUUCACUGAUCAAGAACGAAAGUUAGGGGAUCGAAGACGAUCAGAUACCGUCGUAGUCUUAACCAUAAACCAUGCCGACUAGGGAUUGGAGGGUGUUCGUUUUGACCUCUUCAGCACCUUACGGGAAACUAAAGUCUUUGGGUUCCGGGGGGAGUAUGGUCGCAAGGCUGAAACUUAAAGGAAUUGACGGAAGGGCACCACCAGGAGUGGAGCCUGCGGCUUAAUUUGACUCAACACGGGGAAACUUACCAGGUCCAGACAUUGGAAGGAUCGACAGAUUGAGAGCUCUUUCUUGAUUCGAUGGGUGGUGGUGCAUGGGCCGUUCUUAGUUGGUGGAGUGAUUUGUCUGGUUAAUUCCGUUAACGAACGAGAUCUUAGCCUGCUAAAUAGUUCCGGUAACUUCUUGUUGGCGGUCAACUUCUUAGAGGGGCAACUUGUGAACAACAAGUGGAAGUUUGAGGCAAUAACAGGUCUGUGAUGCCCUUAGAUGUUCUGGGCCGCACGCGCGCUACACUGAAGCAUUCAACGAGUCCACCUCGACCGACAGGUCUGGGAAACCUUUUGAAAUUGCUUCGUGAUGGGGAUAGAUUAUUGCAACUAUUAAUCUUCAACGAGGAAUUCCUAGUAAGCGCAUGUCAUCAGCGCGCGUUG
rnacentral:rRNA from 1 species